CAAGGAUUGCUUUGAUUUGACAAGCUCAAGCUAUAAAGAUCUACUCCGUAUGGGAAAGUUAUUCUUCAUCUGGUGCUAUGGAAUUCGGCUUUGCUCGUCGUGGAUCUUUAUUGUCGCUUACGUACAGUUUCUGCGCUUUCUGUUCUCCAUAUUUUCAUAAAAAAGAGUAGCAUAUUGUCAAUGUUGUUCAGCAGUAGCUUCUUCUACAGUCAUCUG
rnacentral:lncRNA from 1 species